CCUAUUUUACUGCCUAAAAGUGGCAAUACAGAGUUAUCAACACUUUCUUCUUAAUAUUUUAAAAAAUUGAAUGCUCAUCUAAAGAACGUCUUCUUUAAAGUCCAAAUUUCUUCUCCCGCAGCUUGGUUUGUAAGUACUGAUUUUUCAGGAUGUUUGAUCCUAAAUUCAGCAAAUAGAUCUGCCAUUCUCUAUAAAAUCCUCUAUAGAAGGUCUGUCUCAUCUAUAGAUUCCGGUCUCUUGUAUAACAUUCUUGCGGUCUAUUUUACGUUUUUCUUCAUCUCUUUCAGUGACAAAAAGAUAUUCUAUUAGUCAUAUUGAUACUGAGAUUAACAUCUUGUUUCAUAAGAAUCUUGACAAGUCAUCUUGGGCAGAAGACGACACUACUUAUUAUAUAUCGAGUAAAAUUGGUACUCGAUUGACUUUCAAAUAAUGCUACCAGUUUUGUUAGCAGUCUCAACUCUCAAGUGUCAACAAAAUUAAAGGUGACAUGCUCCAGUUUAAGAGGCACAUGCUCUACUUUUUUCUUCUUUUACGGUGGAAGUACGGUUAUGGAGAGCUGGGACAAGUUCAAGUACCGGGACAAGUUCAAGAUUUUGAAGACAAUUGCA